rnacentral:rRNA from 1 species
CCUACGGGGGGCUGCAGUGGGGAAUAUUGGACAAUGGGGGCAACCCUGAUCCAGCCAUGCCGCGUGUGUGAAGAAGGCCCUCGGGUUGUAAAGCACUUUCAGUGAGGAAGAACGCCUGGUGGUUAAUACCCAUCAGGAAAGACAUCACUCACAGAAGAAGCACCGGCUAACUCCGUGCCAGCAGCCGCGGUAAUACGGAGGGUGCGAGCGUUAAUCGGAAUUACUGGGCGUAAAGCGCGCGUAGGUGGCUUGAUAAGCCGGUUGUGAAAGCCCCGGGCUCAACCUGGGAACGGCAUCCGGAACUGUUAAGCUAGAGUGCAGGAGAGGAAGGUAGAAUUCCCGGUGUAGCGGUGAAAUGCGUAGAGAUCGGGAGGAAUACCAGUGGCGAAGGCGGCCUUCUGGACUGACACUGACACUGAGGUGCGAAAGCGUGGGUAGCAAACAGGAUUAGAUACCCGAGUAGUC